GAGGCCACGCCGGAGAGAUGCGCCCGGGCUGGCGGCUGUAUCCCCCCCUCCACCUCCCCCUUUGUUUCUGUGGGCCCUCUCCUGUCUGUGCCUAUGUGGGGGCGAGUGGAUACAAGUGGAGUGCAGGGCCGCUGAACAAGCUUCCACCAGAAACCGCAUCAUCCAGAGCCCGUGGGCUGGAUCCCGCGCCUGCAGGAGCACCCACGAAGCUUCACUCCAUUCCUGCCUGUAUGUCUGGGGGCAUCGAGAGCGAGCAAGGAAGCCGGGCUCACCUCCGCUCCUCACCUCGGGAGGACUGGACCAAGUUCCCCCAAAGGCCCAGCCAGGCUGAACUGGCCCAGAUUAAUAAAGACGUGACCUGCCCGCACCCACCCA